AUUGAACGCUGGCGGCAUGCCUUACACAUGCAAGUCGAACGGCAUCGCGGGAAAGCUUGCUUUCCUGGCGGCGAGUGGCGAACGGGUGAGUAACACAUCGGAACGUACCGGCUAGUGGGGGAUAACCCGUCGAAAGACGGGCUAAUACCGCAUACGCUCUUCGGAGGAAAGCAGGGGACCUUUGGGCCUUGCGCUAGCCGAGCGGCCGAUGUCCGAUUAGCUAGUUGGUGGGGUAAAGGCCUACCAAGGCGACGAUCGGUAGCGGGUCUGAGAGGACGAUCACGCCACUGGGGGCUGGCAACCCGCCCAGACCCCCGCGGGGGGCAGGAAGGGGGAAUUGUGGACAAAGGGGGGCACCCCGGACCAAGAAGGGCGGGGGGGGGAAGGAGGCCUGUGGGUUGGAAAACCCUUUGGGGAGGGGAAAAAAGGGGGGGGGCAAAAACCCCGGGGGGAGGAGGGACCCGGAAAAAGAGCCCCGGGAAAAUUAGGUC
rnacentral:rRNA from 1 species